AAUCAAUCCAUUAGUGCUGGGUUGUCAAACUCAUUUCAGUUCAUGGGCCACGUACCCCUAAUUUGAUCUGAAGUGGGCCAGACCAGUAAACCACUCCAGAAAGAUCCGAAACUUUUUUUUCUGCCACAGAGUUUUUCAACUUGAUGUUGGCAAA